GGAUUCUUGGGAGAACCAUACAGGAAUAAGCUCAUGGUUUCGACUUUGUUGGUUCUCUAGCAGGACGCAGGUAUCCUCAAGGUCACAGCCAAUGCACCCACAGACUUUACCUACCCUGCCUCAACUUGAUGACCCCUGAGCCACCGGAUAACUCAUAUCCCCACCAGCCGACAUGAUCAGAAGGGAUAUGUGAGGAUUAGCCACAGAGCAGCCAAAAUGACAUACCUAGAAAAUCUGACCCGGAAUCCCAAGUGACAAGCCUUAAAGGUUAAAGCAGCAAAUGGCACUUUGCAUGGACUGAAUUAAUACCAGAAUGCACACGGCCUUAAACAAACAAAAGUCAAGACUCUUGCAUCUUCCUCCAGGAAACACUCUCCCAAAUGUCCUAGUUUAGAUCUGGGAAAGAGCACGCAACUCAGCACACUGGCUUUGAAGAAAUGGCCUCAUUAAAAAAUUGCUUUAAAUAAGCAAAACUCUGAGUUAAUGAAGCCUGUAAUUCUAAAUUCAGUAUUUGAAGGCAAAUGGGAUGUUCUCUUAUAUUCUGCUGCUCAGAAAAGGUUGCUGUUUUAUUACUUUUUAAUGUAGCAUAAAUAUCCCCCUUCAUCAGGGAAACUGACUCAACUUUAUAAUUUGUUAUUAAAGAACUGGGCUGCUUUCCUGCAGUUGUCC
rnacentral:lncRNA from 1 species